rnacentral:rRNA from 1 species
GUACACGAGUGGCGAACGGGUGAGUAACACGUGGGUGAUCUGCCCUGCACUUCGGGAUAAGCCUGGGAAACUGGGUCUAAUACCGGAUAUGACCAUGCGCUUCACGGUGUGUGGUGGAAAGCUUUUGCGGUGUGGGAUGGGCCCGCGGCCUAUCAGCUUGUUGGUGGGGUAAUGGCCUACCAAGGCGACGACGGGUAGCCGGCCUGAGAGGGUGUCCGGCCACACUGGGACUGAGAUACGGCCCAGACUCC